AACGAACGCUGGCGGCAUGCCUAACACAUGCAAGUCGAACGAGAUCUUCGGAUCUAGUGGCGCACGGGUGCGUAACGCGUGGGAAUCUGCCCUUUGCUUCGGAAUAACAGUUAGAAAUGACUGCUAAUACCGGAUGAUGUCUUCGGACCAAAGAUUUAUCGGCAAAGGAUGAGCCCGCGUAGGAUUAGGUAGUUGGUGGGGUAAAGGCCUACCAAGCCGACGAUCCUUAGCUGGUCUGAGAGGAUGAUCAGCCACACUGGGACUGAGACACGGCCCAGACUCCUACGGGAGGCAGCAGUGGGGAAUAUUGGACAAUGGGCGAAAGCCUGAUCCAGCAAUGCCGCGUGAGUGAUGAAGGCCUUAGGGUUGUAAAGCUCUUUUACCCGAGAUGAUAAUGACAGUAUCGGGAGAAUAAGACUCCGGCUAACUCCGUGCCAGCAGCGCGGUAAUGUGACU
rnacentral:rRNA from 1 species